GCCAUAACCAUUGUCGCUUUGACGUCGACUGGUCCUUGACAUUCGUUCAAUCAGUAUUUUACAUCUUGAGCAGAUGAAAAUCCAUCGACUGUCAUUCGGCAUCUCUCACACAAGACCGUCGAUAUCUCCUCGUCGGUCGAUUCUUCGUAAGCCAGGCUGAUGAGUCGACAGCACAUCUGAAUGGCUAGCUCAGUCCGAUUAGAAGACGGUCUUCAGCCGAUCACACCC
rnacentral:lncRNA from 1 species